CCCGAGGGGGGCAUACACAUGCAGUCGAGCGGGGGAGAUUGCUUCGGUAAUUGACCUAGCGGCGGACGGGUGAGUAAUACUUAGGAAUCUGCCUAUUAAUGGGGGACAACAUCUCGAAAGGGAUGCUAAUACCGCAUACGCCCUACGGGGGAAAGCAGGGGAUCACUUGUGACCUUGCGUUAAUAGAUGAGCCUAAGUCGGAUUAGCUAGUUGGUGGGGUAAAGGCCUACCAAGGCGACGAUCUGUAGCGGGUCUGAGAGGAUGAUCCGCCACACUGGGACUGAGACACGGCCCAGACUCCUACGGGAGGCAGCAGUGGGGAAUAUUGGACAAUGGGGGGAACCCUGAUCCAGCCAUGCCGCGUGUGUGAAGAAGGCCUUAUGGUUGUAAAGCACUUUAAGCGAGGAGGAGGCUCCUGUAGUUAAUACCUACAGUGAGUGGACGUUACUCGCAGAAUAAGCACCGGCUAACUCUGUGCCAGCAGCCGCGGUAAUACAGAGGGUGCGAGCGUUAAUCGGAUUUACUGGGCGUAAAGCGUGCGUAGGCGGCUUUUUAAGUCGGAUGUGAAAUCCCCGAGCUUAACUUGGGAAUUGCAUUCGAUAUUGGGAAGCUAGAGUAUGGGAGAGGAUGGUAGAAUUCCAGGUGUAGCGGUGAAAUGCGUAGAGAUCUGGAGGAAUACCGAUGGCGAAGGCAGCCAUCUGGCCUAAUACUGACGCUGAGGUACGAAAGCAUGGGGAGCAAACAGGAUUAGAUACCCUGGUAGUCCAUGCCGUAAACGAUGUCUACUAGCCGUUGGGGCCUUUGAGGCUUUAGUGGCGCAGCUAACGCGAUAAGUAGACCGCCUGGGGAGUC
rnacentral:rRNA from 1 species